rnacentral:rRNA from 1 species
UACAGAGGAGCCAAGCGUUGUUCGGAAUUACUGGGCGUAAAGCGCACGUAGGCGGAUCGAUCAGUCAGGGGUGAAAUCCCAGGGCUCAACCCUGGAACUGCCUUUGAUACUGUCGAUCUGGAGUAUGGAAGAGGUGAGUGGAAUUCCGAGUGUAGAGGUGAAAUUCGUAGAUAUUCGGAGGAACACCAGUGGCGAAGGCGGCUCACUGGUCCAUUACUGACGCUGAGGUGCGAAAGCGUGGGGAGCAAACAGG